CCGACGUCACUCCGUGUCGACCUGCCCCGGCGGGCGAGCGGCCGGGAUUCUCCGCUUGUCGGCGCUGUCUGCUGGCGGGUUGCGGCGGUCUGCCUGUUGAGGAGGGUGUGUCCUGCGGAGCGAUGGCCGUGGUGUUGCCGGCGGUCGUGGAGGAGCUCUUGAGCGAAAUGGCCGCGGCGGUGCAGGAGAGUGCGCGAAGUACGGGACGGAGGUCUUCCUGAUGAAUAUCUGUUAUCGCUGAAGUUUCUCUUUGGCUCAUCAGCCACCCAGGCCUUGGACCUAGUUGAUCGACAAUCCAUCACCUUAAUCUCAUCACCCAGUGGAAGGCGUGUUUACCAGGUACUUGGAAGUUCUGGGAAAACAUACACAUGUUUGGCUUCUUGUCAUUACUGUUCAUGUCCUGCAUUUGCCUUCUCAGUGCUACGGAAGAGUGACAGCAUCCUGUGCAAGCAUCUCCUGGCAGUUUACCUUAGUCAGGUUAUGAGGACCUGUCAGCAGCUAAGUGUCUCCGACAAGCAGUUGACUGACAUAUUAUUGAUGGAGAAGAAACAAGAACCAUAAAAGGGCAAAUGAAGGAAAAGAUAAAAAAUCAUGUCCUAAAAGAAAACUACAGCUACUGCCAGGGACUUUCAGUCCAAAGAAGAAAAGACAAAAUAGCUAACAAGAGUUUUAGAAGAGAGAGCGAUGAGACUCAGUUGGACACUAAGAGCCAAGAAAAUAAUUCAUGAAGAAAAUAAAAUCGAUUUCAUCAUAAGACAAGAACUUAUGGUAAAGCUGCCACAGCCAGAAGAGGAUCCUAGAAGGACAGGAACUCCCUGUCUGCAGCAUUUCAUAAGCAUGCAAUAUCCUUGCAGGGAUACUGCAGGAGGAAUUGACGCAAUGGACAGAGGAUAUAGGUGAUUUCACAGCCUAAGAAAAGCCCAUGCUUUUGCCCCCAGAACAUGAGAUGCUAGUGAAUAAAUGCUGGGUGAAAAGCCCAGGGCCCGGAUGUUGUAAUGUUCUGUGGUUGGCAGAUGUUUUUUGUUUUGUUAAAGUGUAACAAAUAAAAUCUAUCAGGAAUUUUCUGCUACUUGGGAAACUUGGACUCAGUAUAACUUACUUUUUUCCCAGCAGCCUUCAGGGUAAAGUUUAGAAGGUAGAUGGAACAAGCCAAUGCAGCACCCUAAGCUUGUCUUUUUAAGUUUUAUUUUUAUUUAACCUCAUAUACACACAGAGUUAAAUAAUUUUGCUUAGUAAAAUUUUCACACUUUGGAUUCCAAGAACUUAACCAAACUUGAACUUUGGAACUUUGGAGCGAAGCAAAAUUCCCUACCUAGCUCGAGAUGGCAGAAUUUGGUAGAGGAGGGAAUCCCAUUUCACCAGCCUUUUUCCCUCGGGUAGUUUUCUGUAUAUGGAAGAGAAUGGAGCUUAAAAUUAUGUGAUCAAAAUUCGACUUAUGAGACUAUAAUUUCCUUAAAUUAA